rnacentral:rRNA from 1 species
CAGUCGCCGCGGGAAUACGUAGGGUGCGAGCGUUAAUCGGAAUUACUGGGCGUAAAGCGUGCGCAGGCGGUUGUGUAAGACAGGUGUGAAAUCCCCGGGCUUAACCUGGGAACUGCGCUUGUGACUGCACAGCUAGAGUAUGGCAGAGGGGGGUGGAAUUCCACGUGUAGCAGUGAAAUGCGUAGAGAUGUGGAGGAACACCGAUGGCGAAGGCAGCCCCCUGGGCCAAUACUGACGCUCAUGCACGAAAGCGUGGGGAGCAAACAGGAUUAGAUACCCGUGUAGUCCCUGUCUCUUAUAC